GAAAAACCUUGAGUGUUUCUGUGACUUUGUGUUUCUGCAGCAGCUGAACAAAUGUUUGGAAACUGUUUUACAGACUCAGCUGCCGGUUGACUAUUCACCGUAACUGAUGACAGCGUCUGUGAGAUGUUGAGUUAAAAAUUAUGUAUUCUUAAACCUUCAGCAGUGAAUACAAACUGAGUUUACAUAAAACUCUCAGGACCAAACUUCAUAGGGAAAACUGCUGAGUUUAAGAGACUCCCUGAAUGUAUAGACACUGUCAUUGAUG